rnacentral:rRNA from 1 species
GACGAACGCUGGCGGCGUGCUUAACACAUGCAAGUCGAACGGAAAGGCCCUGCUUUUGUGGGGUGCUCGAGUGGCGAACGGGUGAGUAACACGUGAGUAACCUGCCCUUGACUUUGGGAUAACUUCAGGAAACUGGGGCUAAUACCGGAUAGGAGCUCCUGCUGCAUGGUGGGGGUUGGAAAGUUUCGGCGGUUGGGGAUGGUCUCGCGGCUUAUCAGCUUGUUGGUGGGGUAGUGGCUUACCAAGGCUUUGACGGGUAGCCGGCCUGAGAGGGUGACCAGCCACAUUGGGACUGAGAUACGGCCCAGACUCCUACGGGAGGCAGCAGGGGGGAAUCUUGAACAAUGGGCGGAAGCCUGAUGCAGCAACGCCGCGUGCGGGAUGACGGCCUUCGGGUUGUAAACCGCUUUCGCCUGUGACGAAGCGUGAGUGACGGUAAUGGGUAAAGAAGCACCGGCUAACUACGUG